rnacentral:rRNA from 1 species
UACGUAGGGCACAAGCGUUGUCCGGAAUUAUUGGGCGUAAAGAGCUCGUAGGCGGCCAGUUGCGUCCGCUGUGAAAUCCCGGGGCUUAACCCCGGGCGUGCAGUGGAUACGGGCUGGCUAGAGGCAGGCAGGGGAGAACGGAAUUCCCGGUGUAGCGGUGAAAUGCGCAGAUAUCGGGAGGAACACCGGUGGCGAAGGCGGUUCUCUGGGCCUGUACUGACGCUGAGGAGCGAAAGCGUGGGGAGCAAACAGG